GAGGGGAAAGAGGAAAAGUAAAGAUAAAAAGUAAUAGAUUGAUUUGUGAUUGAUUGGAUACCCUCAAUCGGCCGUGGCCCUUUAUAUUUAUAGGAUGAGGAGGUCUUGCCCCUAAUGGAGUUGAAACCUUAACAAAUCUCGUGUAAAAAUACAACUCAUACUCGGACUCUACAGACCCAAACUAGUCUGACAGGUGUGCAAACCGGUCCGACCUAUCUCCUGGGGGCAGAUCUUUCUGAGGUCAUAACUCUCUUAUCCGAAUUCCAAAUCAGACGUUGUAUAUAUGAAUUUUGAUCUACUCGACAAGAGCUACAUAAUGGUGAAGUCCAAUUUACAUUUGGAUUACUU
rnacentral:lncRNA from 1 species